rnacentral:rRNA from 1 species
GGACUACUGGGGUAUCUAAUCCCGUUUGCUCCCCUGGCUUUCGCAUCUCAGUGUCAGUAUCGGACCAGAAAGCCGCCUUCGCCACCGGUGUUCCUCCCAAUAUCUACGCAUUUCACCGCUACACUGGGAAUUCCGCUUUCCUCUUCCGCACUCAAGUCCUGCAGUUUCAAAGGCAAUGACCUGGUUAAGCCGGGCCAUUUCACCUUUGACUUACAAAACCACCUACAUGCCCUUUACACCCAAUAAAUCCGGACAACGUUUGCCACCUCUGUAUUACCGCGGCUGCUGGCAC